rnacentral:rRNA from 1 species
UACGUAGGGUGCGAGCGUUGUCCGGAAUUAUUGGGCGUAAAGAGCUCGCAGGCGGUGUGUCACGUCGGCCGUGAAAACCUGCAGCUUAACUGUGGGCGUGCGGUCGAUACGGGCAUCACUGGAGUUCGGCAGGGGAGACUGGAAUUCCUGGUGUAGCGGUGAAAUGCGCAGAUAUCAGGAGGAACACCGGUGGCGAAGGCGGGUCUCUGGGCCGAUACUGACGCUGAGGAGCGAAAGCGUGGGGAGCAAACAGG